UACGUAGGGGGCAAGCGUUAUCCGGAUUUACUGGGUGUAAAGGGAGCGUAGGCCGGCUUUUAAGUCAGCUGUGAAAGUCCGCGGCUCAACCGUGGAAUUGCAGUUGAAACUGGAGGCCUUGAGUGCACACAGGGGUGCCGGAAUUCAUGGUGUAGCGGUGAAAUGCUUAGAUAUAACUUAGAACCCCGAUAGCGAAGGCAGCUUACCAGACUGUUACUGACGCUGAAGCACGAGAGCGUGGGUAGCGAACAGG
rnacentral:rRNA from 1 species